rnacentral:tRNA from 1 species
AUUUUUAUAAAUAAAUAAAUUUCAAAAUCAAAAUAAUAUUUUAAUAUUAGUAAUAUUAGAAAAUAUUAGUAAUA